rnacentral:rRNA from 1 species
CUAGGGUUAGUUUUCCUUCGGGACGCUGAGACAGUGUGCAUGCUGUCGUCAGCUGUGUCGUGAGAUGUUGGUUAAGUCCCGCAACGAGCGCAACCCUUGUCAUUAGUUGCCAUCAUUAAGUUGGGCACUCUAAUGAGACUGCCGGUGACAAACCGGAGGAAGGUGGGGAUGACGUCAAGUCAUCAUGCCCCUUAUGACCUGGGCUACACACGUGCUACAAUGGACGGUACAACGAGAAGCGAACCUGCGAAGGCAAGCGGAUCUCUUAAAGCCGUUCUCAGUUCGGACUGUAGGCUGCAACUCGCCUACACGAAGCUGGAAUCGCUAGUAAUCGCGGAUCAGCACGCCGCGGUGAAUACGUUCCCGAGCCUUGUACACACCGCCCGUCACACCAUGAGAGUCUGUAACACCCAAAGCCGGUGGGAUAACCUUUAUAGGAGUCAGCCGUCUAAGGUAGGACAGAUGAUUAGGGUGAAGUCGUAACAAGGUAGCCUCAGUCAGUCGUU